rnacentral:lncRNA from 1 species
CGAGCUCUCUUCCUCCUGCCGAGAACUCCCCUAUUUAUAGAUCGCCCGAGCCUGGAGGAAGAGAAACGGGCGAGGGAUCAUGGCCGCUGGGAUUCCGAAAGAGGAGGAGGGCGCGGUCUGCGACCGUGGGCGGGAUCUCGGCUGCAUCACGGCGGAAGCAUAGGCGGAGGAGGCUGGAUACGGGACGGUUGCUGGAGGAGGAGGCGAUCAUCUGAGAUCGCACAUGGAAUGGAAGGCGAUCCGGGAUCGAUGGGAGGAUGCCGUGGAAGAUGGACGGAUGCAGGAUCACUUGGAGGAGGCGGUUACGGCUUGGAUCCGUGGAUGGCGCCGUGGGACUGCUGGGAGGUUGACUGGCCGCGGGAUCUCUUGGAGAAGCUGGGAGGCGGACGAACGGCUGGACUGCAUUCGAACGGGCGCCUGGGAGGAGGCGUGGAUCACGGACGCGGCGUCGG